ensembl:lncRNA
AUUUUUGUGAACAUACUCUUUUUGCAUGUUCUAACUGUACAAAGAAUACCACUAAUUCACGGACGCCUCGCUACAGUUUGCAGUACAUGUGCUACUGUAUUAUGCACACAGGUCACAUUUAACAGACUCCACAGUUUAGAGCAGGCUAAUUUCUUUGGUGAACAGUAGCACUGCAGAAAUAAACACGGUCCUCUUUAAGGGAACUAAAUUAAACAGUAACAUUAUGACAAUAUUUACAUACCUACAUUUCUGCUUCAAAGAGCAGACAUUUGCACUACUUAAUGUGCCACCACAAGCAAAUACUGGAAAGGAGAAGACGGCUUGAAGAAGGAGAAACUAGCAGAGCCAAAGGCUUGAACACAGGCACAAAGGCAGCAGAAAAUACAGAGCAAACAAUGAAGUCUCCCACUCUAGUACUGUACAUUUUCUACCUUUCUAGAGGGAGUUCCCAGUGUUCUGAUCCAUACCCUCCCCUCUCAUAAAUAAUCAAUCCACUAGCUAAAGACCAGGAUCAGAACUGAAACAUCUCAAUCGGAAAAGAACAAUGUGGGAGUGUUUUGGUUUUUUAAAAUCUACUCUUAAUUUGUUUCAGUUACUGUAACUCAUCCACUACAAAAAAAGCACUCCUAACUUUUAAUCCAGUCCCGUACUGUAACAGAGAACAGCAGCUGGAGUGUUUACUCUCACAAUCAAUAUCCCUGAAAUCUUGAUCCAAUUUUGUAACAUCAGAAUUUGCAACCAGGUUUAAACAGUGAGUUCUUCUUGUGACCCCAAUGUGCUACAUUACUGCUAAUUUCUUCUUCAGGAUUUGCUUCUCCUGGAAGUGUUGAUGCAACUUAAUUGGGAUAUAUUUCAUUCAAGCAGCUUUUAUUCCCCUCUAUUCAACACCAAAUGUUACUCCUUUGCAUUUCAAAUUGAUUCAACUCUACCCCAGAAUUAGGUUAUUUCUCUCCAGCUUUUUAGAAGUAGACCAAAUAUAUAUUAAAACAGUAAUGAUUUACACAGAGCCAUCUCUGAAACAAAACAAUGUUUUGCUUGCUAAAAACAGUUAAUGAAUACUGAUUUUCUUCCCUAUUUCUGAUGCUCUCAUUCUGUCUUUUUUUUGGCAAGAGCUUCUUAGGCUGAACAUCUAGUCAACAAGUGAAGAAUUAUCUCUGCAAGUAAACUUCUAAAAGAAAAAGCUCUAAGUAGCUCCUGCUCAGAAAAAUCAACAUGAAUCCAGAAGACUGCAAAAAUUGCAGUUCACAUUUUAAUUGAAAUAUGCUGCCUCAUUUCUAUCUGCGAUUAUCAACAAGUUAACCUGUCUGGCUCAUUUAUUGCAUUUGUCCUGGCAAUGCCACCCAGGUACAACACUCCAGCAGCAGUUGGAGGCACACUUGCACAGCACAGUUUUGGGCUACUUGGCUAACGAAGUACCAGAUUUCAAUGGCUCCAAGUUCUUGUGCCUCACUGUUGACUCAGUACACAGGGCACGGUGCAAACACACCAACUGGUCCUGGGUAUGGCAAAGCCUGAUAAAACAGUUUAACCAGCUAAGCACUGCUCUCACUGGAUCUGGGAGAGCUUGUGAUCCCAGAGUUGGAGCAGCGUAAGAUAACAAAAACAGCUAAGCAAUGACUAAAAAAAAGGAAGUGACCUAUGUAAUAUGCUUCUAAGAACUGAGAAGACUUACCACCUCACAAAACACCAAGACAAACCCCCAAAAACCACUCACAUAAUCUCUUCCUAAAACUGGACAGGGUGCUCACUGCUCAAUCUACUGACCCGGCCUGCCAUUUUUAAUGGCUUUUCCCUUUCUGCAGAAACUCAAAUCUUUCCACUUUCUUUGCUUGUUCUUCUCCAUCUUCUUGUUCAUACUAUCUCCUCCACUCAUCUA